rnacentral:rRNA from 1 species
AAUGAACGCUGGCGGCAUGCUUUACACAUGCAAGUCGAACGGCAGCACGGGGGCAACCCUGGUGGCGAGUGGCGAACGGGUGAGUAACACAUCGGAACGUGUCCAGUUGUGGGGGAUAACCCAUCGAAAGGUGGGCUAAUACCGCAUGAGCUGGCAACAGGAAAGCGGGGGACCCGCAAGGGCCUUGUGCGAUUGGAGCGGCCGAUGUCCGAUUAGCUAGUUGGUGGGGUAAAGGCCUACCAAGGCUUCGAUCGGUAGCUGGUCUGAGAGGAUGAUCAGCCACACUGGGACUGAGACACGGCCCAGACUCCUACGGGAGGCAGCAGUGGGGAAUUUUGGACAAUGGGGCAACCCUGAUCCAGCCAUGCCGCGUGAGUGAAGAAGGCCU